rnacentral:rRNA from 1 species
GACGAACGCUGGCGGCGUGCUUAACACAUGCAAGUCGAACGGUGAACCUCUUCGUAUGGGAUCAGUGGGGAAGGGGAGAGUAACACGUGCGCGACCUUCCCCCGCCUCUGGGAUAACUCCAAGAUCUUGAGGCUAGUACCAGUAGUUCACCGCUUCUCCCGUGGCUGGUGGUGGAAUGGAUUUCUUCCGCGGGUGGGGAUGGCCGCGCGGCAUAUCAGCUUGUUGGUGGGGUAGUGGCCUACCAAGGCGGCGACGGGUAGCCGGCCUGAGAGGGUGACCGGCCACACUGGGACUGAGAUACGGCCCAGACUCCUACGGGAGGCAGCAGUGGGGAAUAUUGCGCAAUGGGCGGAAGCCUGACGCAGCGACGCCGCGUGCGGGAUGACGGCCUUCGGGUUGUAAACCGCUUUCGGCAGGGACGAAGCGCGAGUGACGGUACCUGCAGAAGAAGCACCGGCCAACUACGUG